GAAAUGCGAUAAGUAGUGUGAAUUGCAGUAUUCAGUGAAUCAUCGAAUCUUUGAACGCACAUUGCGCCCCUUGGUAUUCCAUGGGGCAUGCCUGUUCGAGCGUCAUUUGUACCUUCAAGCUUUGCUUGGUGUUGGGUGUUUGUCUCGCCUCUGCGCGCAGACUCGCCUCAAAACAAUUGGCAGCCGGCGUAUUGAUUUCGGAGCGCAGUACAUCUCGCGCUUUGCACUCAUAACGACGACGUCCAAAAAGUACAUUUUUUACACUCUUGACCUCGGAUCAGGUAGGGAUACCCGCUGAACUUAAGC
rnacentral:misc_RNA from 1 species